AAGCAAUCCUCCCACCUUGGCCUCCCAAAGUGCUGGGAGUCCAGGCAUGAUCCACCAUGCCCAGCAAUGUUUUGCUCACCUUUACCUGAGUCAGGUAUCCCCUCUGUCCUUCCAGUCCCACGUGUGAUCAUACAGCCAUAACCCUGCACAGACAAGCUUCUUAAAAGGAAUACUAUGCCAGAUCUUGUUUUCUAGACACCACUUUCCACUAAAAGGAUAUGGGACUCGUUAGAGAAAUGGCUGGUUCCAGGGCUAGGACAGGAAAGUAUAAGAGGAGACCGAACAUCUUAUUGUGCCAAAAAAUAGAGGUGCUCGAAAAAUUAUGGGGAUAUAUAUCAAAUAGCUUGAAGGGCACUUUAUCUUACUUGACUUUUUAGUAGCGUAUGAAACUACUAAUCUCAUCCACCUUCUUGAAACUCUCUCCUCUAACAUCUGAUCUUCUGCUUCUGAUUAUCUUUCCUCAAUGACGGCUCCUUCUUUUUUUUUUUUUGAGACGGAGUCAUGCACUGUUGCCCAGGCCUAAUAAUUUUUACUCUCUACGUAUCUCUGGCAUCUCUUGGUCCCCUCUUCUCCUCCCUUAAUCCAGGCCAUUAUCAUUUCUCAGCUGAAUGACUCCAUCAGUCACUUAACAGUGUGCCCAGCAUGCCAUCACGCUCCCGUUCCAGCCCAUCCUCCAUAGUCUCCCUGUAGCCAGAAUGAAGGCUCUGAAUGCAUCAUCCCCUGCCAAAAAUCUUCUUUGGUUACAUUACCAGCUGUGUUUCUAACAUUUAAAUAGUAAAAUUAAAAAUCAGUGAGGUUAGCAAUGAAAAUAAACUUUUUUCUUUUCUCCCGAAAAGGAAUCAAGAAGGGUGGAGAGUGUAUUUGCAGAAGGAAUCAGCUGAGUUUGGAGACUAUUUUGAUAUCCUGAUUCUCUCUUAAGAAAUGAUGACUCAAUGCAAAUCAACAGGGUGGCAUGACUGCUAAAAAAAAAAUGUAAUGCAUUAUUGGCACCAUUCGUAAAAGUAUACUGUCCACAGUAAAAAAAAAAAAAAAAAAAAAAAA